rnacentral:rRNA from 1 species
AUACGGAGGGUGCAAGCGUUACUCGGAAUCACUGGGCGUAAAGCGCGCGCAGGCGGCCAUUUAAGUUGGAUGUGAAAGCCUACGGCUCAACCGUAGAACUGCGUCCAAAACUAUUUGGCUCGAGUGUGGGAGAGGAAGAUGGAAUUAGUUGUGUAGGGGUAAAAUCCGUAGAGAUAACUAGGAAUACCAAAAGCGAAGGCAAUCUUCUGGAACAUUACUGACGCUGAGGCGCGAAAGCGUGGGGAGCAAACAGGAUUAGAAACCCUAGUAGUCC